rnacentral:rRNA from 1 species
GAUGAACGCUGGCGGCGUGCCUAAUACAUGCAAGUCGAGCGAACAGACGAGGAGCUUGCUCCUCUGACGUUAGCGGCGGACGGGUGAGUAACACGUGGAUAACCUACCUAUAAGACUGGGAUAACUUCGGGAAACCGGAGCUAAUACCGGAUAAUAUAUUGAACCGCAUGGUUCAAUAGUGAAAGACGGUUUUGCUGUCACUUAUCGAUGGAUCCGCGCCGCAUUAGCUAGUUGGUAAGGUAACGGCUUACCAAGGCAACGAUGCGUAGCCGACCUGAGAGGGUGAUCGGCCACACGGGAACUGAGACACGGUCCAGAGGCCUACGGGAGGCAGCAGUAGGGAAUCUUCCGCAAUGGGCGAAAGCCUGACGGAGCAACGCCGCGUGAGUGAUGAAGGUCUUCGGAUCGUAAAACUCUGUUAUUAGGGAAGAACAAAUGUGUAAGUAACUAUGCACGUCUUGACGGUACCUAAUCAGAAAGCCACGGCUAACUACGUG